UGUUUGAUGUUCUAACGUGGACCCGUGAUCCGGGUUGCGGACAGUGUCUGGUGGGUAGUUUGACUGGGGCGGUCUCCUCCUAAAGAGUAACGGAGGAGCACGAAGGUUGGCUAAUCCUGGUCGGACAUCAGGAGGUUAGUGCAAUGGCAUAAGCCAGCUUGACUGCGAGCGUGACGGCGCGAGCAGGUGCGAAAGCAGGUCAUAGUGAUCCGGUGGUUCUGAAUGGAAGGGCCAUCGCUCAACGGAUAAAAGGUACUCCGGGGAUAACAGGCUGAUACCGCCCAAGAGUUCAUAUCGACGGCGGUGUUUGGCACCUCGAUGUCGGCUCAUCACAUCCUGGGGCUGAAGUAGGUCCCAAGGGUAUGGCUGUUCGCCAUUUAAAGUGGUACGCGAGCUGGGUUUAGAACGUCGUGAGACAGUUCGGUCCCUAUCUGCCGUGGGCGCUGGAGAACUGAGGGGGGCUGCUCCUAGUACGAGAGGACCGGAGUGGACGCAUCACUGGUGUUCGGGUUGUCAUGCCAAUGGCACUGCCCGGUAGCUAAAUGCGGAAGAGAUAAGUGCUGAAAGCAUCUAAGCACGAAACUUGCCCCGAGAUGAGUUCUCCCUGAGACUUUA
rnacentral:rRNA from 1 species